GACGAACGCUGGCGGCGUGCUUAACACAUGCAAGUGGAGCGACGAACCAGGGCUUGCCCUGGGGCAGAGCCGCGAACGGGUGAGUAACACGUGGGUAACCUGCGCCGAUGACCGGGACAACCCGAGGAAACUAGGGCUAAUACCGGAUGUGUUCAACUCACAUCAGUGAGAUGAGGAAAGGAAGCUUCGGCCUCCGCAUCGGGCUGGGCCCGCGGCCCAUUAGCUUGUUGGUGGGGUAACGGCCCACCAAGGCGACGAUGGGUAGCUGUUCUGAGAGGAAGAUCAGCCACACUGGGACUGAGACACGGCCCAGACUCCUACGGGAGGCAGCAGUGGGGAAUCUUGCGCAAUGCGCGAAAGCGUGACGCAGCAACGCCGCGUGCGGGAAGACGGCCUUCGGGUUGUAAACCGCUUUCAGUUGGGACGAAGCCUCGCCGGUGAAUAGCCGGCCGGAGUGACGGUACCUUCAGAAGAAGCCCCGGCUAACUACGUGCCAGCCGCCGCGGUAACAC
rnacentral:rRNA from 1 species